rnacentral:rRNA from 1 species
CGCCGCGUGAGUGAUGAAGGUUUUCGGAUCGUAAAGCUCUGUUGUUAGGGAAGAACAAGUGCCGUUCAAAUAGGGCGGCACCUUGACGGUACCUAACCAGAAAGCCACGGCUAACUACGUGCCAGCAGCCGCGGUAAUACGUAGGUGGCAAGCGUUGUCCGGAAUUAUUGGGCGUAAAGGGCUCGCAGGCGGUUUCUUAAGUCUGAUGUGAAAGCCCCCGGCUCAACCGGGGAGGGUCAUUGGAAACUGGGGAACUUGAGUGCAGAAGAGGAGAGUGGAAUUCCACGUGUAGCGGUGAAAUGCGUAGAGAUGUGGAGGAACACCAGUGGCGAAGGCGACUCUCUGGUCUGUAACUGACGCUGAGGAGCGAAAGCGUGGGGAGCGAACAGGAUUAGAUACCCUGGUAGUCCACGCCGUAAACGAUGAGUGCUAAGUGUUAGGGGGUUUCCGCCCCUUAGUGCUGCAGCUAACGCAUUAAGCACUCCG